GAUGAACGCUGGCGGCGUUCUUAACACAUGCAAGUCGAACGGAAAGGCCCAAGCUUGCUUGGGUACUCGAGUGGCGAACGGGUGAGUAACACGUGGGUGAUCUGCCCUGCACUUCGGGAUAAGCCUGGGAAACUGGGUCUAAUACCGGAUAGGACCACAUUUUGGAUGGUGUGGUGGAAAGUUUUUCGGUGUGGGAUGAGCUCGCGGCCUAUCAGCUUGUUGGUGGGGUAAUGGCCUACCAAGGCGUCGACGGGUAGCCGGCCUGAGAGGGUGUACGGACACAUUGGGACAGAGAUACGGCCCAGACUCCUACGGGAGGCAGCAGUGGGGAGUAUGGCACAAUGGGCGAAAGCCUGAUGCAGCGACGCCGCGAGGGGGAUGACGGACUUCGGGUUGUAAACUCCUUUCGCUAGGGACGAAGCGCAAGUGACGGUACCUGGAGAAGAAGCACCGGCUAACUACGUG
rnacentral:rRNA from 1 species